AUUGAACGCUGGCGGCAGGCCUAACACAUGCAAGUCGAACGAGUGGCGGACGGGUGAGUAAUGUCUGGGAAACUGCCUGAUGGAGGGGGAUAACUACUGGAAACGGUAGCUAAUACCGCAUACCAUCAGAUGUGCCCAGAUGGGAUUAGCUUGGUGGUGGGGUAACGGCUCACCAAGGAGACGAUCCCUAGCUGGUCUGAGAGGAUGAACAGCCACAGUUGAACUGGGUCCCGGUCCAGAACCCUACGGUGGGCAGCAGUGGGGAAUAUUGCACAAUGGGCGCAAGCCGGAUACAGCCAUGCCGCGUGUAUGAAGAAGGCCUUCCGGUUGUAAAGUACUUUCAGCGGGGAGGCGUUACCCGCAGAAGAAGCACCGGCUAACUCCGUGCCAGCAGCCGCGGUAAUAC
rnacentral:rRNA from 1 species